rnacentral:miRNA from 1 species
UUGGGUUGGCCAAAAAGUUAGUUUGGGUUUUUCUGUACACUCUUACAGACCCAGUGGACUUUUUAUCUAACCCAG